rnacentral:rRNA from 1 species
UACAGAGGUCUCAAGCGUUGUUCGGAUUCAUUGGGCGUAAAGGGUGCGUAGGCGGCGCGGUAAGUCGGGUGUGAAAUUUCGGAGCUUAACUCCGAAACUGCAUUCGAUACUGCGGUGCUUGAGGACUGGAGAGGAGACUGGAAUUCAUGGUGUAGCAGUGAAAUGCGUAGAGAUCAUGAGGAAGACCAGUGGCGAAGGCGGGGUCUCUGGACAGUUCCUGACACUGAGACACGAAGGCCAGGGGAGCAAACGGGG